rnacentral:rRNA from 1 species
CCUACGGGUGGCAGCAGUGAGGAAUAUUGGACAAUGGGCGGGAGCCUGAACCAGCCAAGCCGCGUGAGGGAAGAAGGUCCAGCGUAUCGUAAACCUCUUCUGUCAGGGAACAAAGGCGGGGACUAGUCCCCGGAUGAGGGUACCUGAAGAAAAAGCAUCGGCUAACUCCGUGCCAGCAGCCCCGGUAAGAGGGGGGAUGCGAGGGUUACACGGAUUUAUGGGGUUUAAAGGGUGCGCGGGGGGCCUGUUAAGUCAGCGGGAAAAGCCCGGGGCUCAACCCCGGCGAGCCGGUGAAACUGGCGGGCUGGAGUUGGAGAGAAGUGCGCGGAAUGCGCGGUGUAGCGGUGAAAUGCGUAGAUAUCGCGCAGAACCCCGAUUGCGAAGGCAGCGUACCGGCUGCACACUGACGCUGAGGCACGAAAGCGUGGGUAUCGAACAGGAUUAGAUACCCCGGUAGUC